rnacentral:rRNA from 1 species
GACGAACGCUGGCGGCGUGCUUAACACAUGCAAGUCGAACGGAAAGGCCCUGCUUUUGUGGGGUGCUCGAGUGGCGAACGGGUGAGUAACACGUGAGUAACCUGCCCUUGACUUUGGGAUAACUUCAGGAAACUGGGGCUAAUACCGGAUAGGAGCUCCUGCUGCAUGGUGGGGGUUGGAAAGUUUCGGCGGUUGGGGAUGGACUCGCGGCUUAUCAGCUUGUUGGUGGGGUAGUGGCUUACCAAGGCUUUGACGGGUAGCCGGCCUGAGAGGGUGACCGGCCACAUGGGGACUGAGAUACGGCCCAGACUCCUACGGGAGGCAGCAGUGGGGAAUAUUGCACAAUGGGCGGAAGCCGGAUGCAGCAACGCCGCGUGCGGGAUGACGGCCUUCGGGUUGUAAACCGCUUUCGCCUGUGACGAAGCGUGAGUGACGGUAAUGGGGAAAGAAGCACCGGCUAACUACGU